CCUAUGGGGGGCAGCAGGCGCGAAAACUUUACAAUGCAGGAAACUGUGAUAAGGGAACCCCGAGUGCCUGUAUGGACAGGCUGUUCAGGUGCGCAAAAAACACCUGGAGAAAGGGCCGGGCAAGACCGGUGCCAGCCGCCGCGGUAAUACCGGCGGCUCGAGUGGUGGCCACUAUUACUGGGCUUAAAGCGUCCGUAGCUGGGUAGUUAAGUCUCUGGGGAAAUCUUUCGGCUCAACCGAAAGGCGUCUCAGGGAUACUGGCUACCUUGGGAUCGGGAGAGGUGAGAGGUACUCUGGGGGUAGGAGUGAAAUCCUGUUAUCCUCAGGGGACCACCUGUGGCGAAGGCGUCUCACCAGAACGACUCCGACAGUGAGGGACGAAAGCUGGGGGAGCAAACCGGAUUAGAUACCCGCGUAGUCC
rnacentral:rRNA from 1 species